rnacentral:rRNA from 1 species
CCUACGGGUGGCAGCAGUAGGGAAUAUUGGGCAAUGGACGCAAGUCUGACCCAGCCAUCCCGCGUGCAGGAAGAAGGCCCUCUGGGUCGUAAACUGCUUUUGUCUGGGAAGAAAAAGCGGUACUUGUACUGAACUGACGGUACCAGACGAAUAAGCACCGGCUAACUCCGUGCCAGCAGCCGCGGUAAUACGGAGGGUGCAAGCGUUAUCCGGAUUCACUGGGUUUAAAGGGUGCGUAGGCGGUUAGAUAAGUCAGUGGUGAAAGCUCGCAGCUUAACUGUGAAACUGCCAUUGAAACUGUCUGACUUGAGUACGAUUGAAGUGGGCGGAAUACAACAUGUAGCGGUGAAAUGCUUAGAUAUGUUGUAGAACACCGAUUGCGAAGGCAGCUCACUAAGUCGUGACUGACGCUGAGGCACGAAAGCGUGGGUAGCGAACAGGAUUAGAUACCCGAGUAGUC